CCGGCGCACGGGUGAGUAACGCGUAUGCAACUUACCUAUCAGAGGGGGAUAACCCGGCGAAAGUCGGACUAAUACCGCAUGAAGCAGGGAUCCCGCAUGGGAAUAUUUGCUAAAGAUUCAUCGCUGAUAGAUAGGCAUGCGUUCCAUUAGGCAGUUGGCGGGGUAACGGCCCACCAAACCGACGAUGGAUAGGGGUUCUGAGAGGAAGGUCCCCCACAUUGGUACUGAGACACGGUCCAA
rnacentral:rRNA from 1 species